rnacentral:rRNA from 1 species
AUUGAACGCUGGCGGCAGGCCUAACACAUGCAAGUCGAGCGGAUGAAGGGAGCUUGCUCCUGGAUUCAGCGGCGGACGGGUGAGUAAUGCCUAGGAAUCUGCCUGGCAGUGGGGGAUAACGUCCGGAAACGGGCGCUAAUACCGCAUACGUCCUGAGGGAGAAAGUGGGGGAUCUUCGGACCUCACGCUAUCAGAUGAGCCUAGGUCGGAUUAGCUAGUUGGUGGGGUAAAGGCCUACCAAGGCGACGAUCCGUAACUGGUCUGAGAGGAUGAUCAGUCACACUGGAACUGAGACACGGUCCAGACUCCUACGGGAGGCAGCAGUCGGGAAUGUUGGACAAAGGGCGAGAGCCUGACCCAGCCAUGCCGCGUGUGUGAAGAAGGUCUUCGGAUUGUAAAGCACUUUUAGUUGGGAGGAAGCGCAGUAAGUUAAUACCUUGCGGUUUUGACGUUACCAACAGAAUAAGCACCGGCUAACUUCGUG